rnacentral:rRNA from 1 species
GACAGAGGGUGCAAACGUUGUUCGGAAUUACUGGGCGUAAAGCGCGUGUAGGCGGCCAUCUAAGUCGGGCGUGAGAUCCCACGGCUCAACCGUGGAAGUGCACUCGAAACUGGAUGGCUAGAGUCCUGGAGAGGAAGGUGGAAUGCUUGGUGUAGAGGUGAAAUUCGUAGAUAUCAAGCGGAACACCGGUGGCGAAGGCGGCCUUCUGGACAGUGACUGACGCUGAGACGCGAAAGCGUGGGGAGCAAACAGG